UCCAAUCUGCUAUGCACAUUUGGCAGCCUCACAGGUUGGGACGUUCAUGAAGUUUGAAGAUGCAUCUGAGACAUCGUCAAGCCAUGGUGGGGUUACGACACCAGGAGCUGUUGUUGUCCCUCAGCUGCCUAGGUUGAAUGAGAAAGUCUGCAGCUCAAUGUUCUUCUGUUGAGAGCGACGUAUGAGCCGAGCCCCAUGUUUUGUAUAGUCAUUUGGUUUACAAAUACUGACU